rnacentral:rRNA from 1 species
GAUGAACGCUGGCGGCGUGCCUAAUACAUGCAAGUCGAGCGAACGGACGAGAAGCUUGCUUCUCUGAUGUUAGCGGCGGACGGGUGAGUAACACGUGGAUAACCUACCUAUAAGACUGGGAUAACUUCGGGAAACCGGAGCUAAUACCGGAUAAAAUUUUGAACCGCAUGGUUCAAAAGUGAAAGACGGUCUUGCUGUCACUUAUAGAUGGAUCCGCGCUGCAUUAGCUAGUUGGUAAGGUAACGGCUUACCAAGGCAACGAUGCAUAGCCGACCUGAGAGGGUGAUCGGCCACACUGGAACUGAGACACGGUCCAGACUCCUACGGGAGGCAGCAGUAGGAAAUCUUCCGCAAUGGGCGAAAGCCUGACGGAGCAACGCCGCGUGAGUGAUGAAGGUCUUCGGAUCGUAAAACUCUGUUAUUAGGGAAGAACAUAUGUGUAAGUAACUGUGCACAUCUUGACGGUACCUAAUCAGAAAGCCACGGCUAACUACGUG